rnacentral:rRNA from 1 species
AAACUAACAAGGAUUCCCCUAGUAACGGCGAGUGAAGCGGGAAGAGCUCAAAUUUGUAAUCUGGCACUUUCAGUGUCCGAGUUGUAAUCUCGAGAAGUGUUUUCCGCGCUGGACCGCAUACAAGUCUGUUGGAAUACAGCGUCAUAGUGGUGAGAACCCCGUAACUGAUGCGGAUGCCCAGUGCUUUGUGAUACACUUUCGAAGAGUCGAGUUGUUUGGGAAUGCAGCUCAAAUUGGGUGGUAAAUUCCAUCUAAAGCUAAAUAUUGGCGAGAGACCGAUAGCGAACAAGUACCGUGAGGGAAAGAUGAAAAGCACCUUGGAAAGGGAGUUAACAGUACGUGAAAUUGUUGGAAGGGAAACGCUUGAAGUCAGACUUGCUAUGUGGAUUUAUUCGCUUCGCAGGCCAGCAUCAGUUUCUGGGGGUGGAAAAGGGUUUGGAGAAGGUAGCAACUCCGGUUGUGUUAUAGCUCCUUGCUGGAUUCAUCUUUGGGGACUGAGGAACGCA